AUUGAACGCUGGCGGCAGGCUUAACACAUGCAAGUCGAGCGGGGGAAGGUAGCUUGCUACCGGACCUAGCGGCGGACGGGUGAGUAAUGCUUAGGAAUCUGCCUAUUAGUGGGGGACAACAUCUCGAAAGGGAUGCUAAUACCGCAUACGUCCUACGGGAGAAAGCAGGGGAUCUUCGGACCUUGCGCUAAUAGAUGAGCCUAAGUCGGAUUAGCUAGUUGGUGGGGUAAAGGCCUACCAAGGCGACGAUCUGUAGCGGGUCUGAGAGGAUGAUCCGCAGAGCUGGGACUGAGGCACGGCCUAGACUACUACGGGAGGCAGACGUGGGGAAUAUUGGACAAUGGGGGGAACCCUGAUCCAGCCAUGCCGCGUGUGUGAAGAAGGCCUUAUGGUUGUAAAGCACUUUAAGCGAGGAGGAGGCUACUUUAGUUAAUACCUAGAGAUAGUGGACGUUACUCGCAGAAUAAGCACCGGCUAACUCUGUGCCAGCCGCCGCCGUAACAC
rnacentral:rRNA from 1 species